rnacentral:rRNA from 1 species
CUACGGGCGGCUCCAGUGAGGAAUAUUGCACAGUGGAGGAAACUCUGAUGCAGCAACGCCGCGUGGAGGAUGACGCAUUUCGGUGUGUAAACUCCUUUUAUAUGUCAAGAAAAUGACGGUAGCAUAUGAAUAAGCACCGGCUAACUCCGUGCCAGCAGCCGCGGUAAUACGGAGGGUGCAAGCGUUACUCGGAAUCACUGGGCGUAAAGGACGCGUAGGCGGGAUAUCAAGUCAGGUGUGAAAUCCUACAGCUUAACUGUAGAACUGCACUUGAAACUGGUAACCUAGAGUAUGGGAGGGGGAGAUGGAAUUAGUGGUGUAGGGGUAAAAUCCGUAGAUAUCACUAGGAAUACCUAAAGCGAAGGCGAUCUCCUGGAACAUAACUGACGCUAAGGCGUGAAAGCGUGGGGAGCAAACAGGAUUAGAUACCCGCGUAGUC